UACAGAGGGGGCGAGCGUUGUUCGGAAUUACUGGGCGUAAAGCGCGCGCAGGCGGCUCGUCAAGUCUGGCGUGAAAGCCCCGGCUCAACCGGGGAGGGUCGUCGGAGACUGGCGAGCUUGAGGGCGGUAGGGGCUGGUGGAAUUCCCGGUGUAGUGGUGAAAUGCGCAGAUAUCGGGAAGAACACCCGUGGCGAAGGCGGCUCUCUGGGACGGUACUGACGCUGAGGCGCGAAAGCGUGGGGAGCGAACAGGA
rnacentral:rRNA from 1 species